AGAGUUUGAUCAUGGCUCAGGACGAACGCUGGCGGCGUGCUUAACACAUGCAAGUCGAACGGACCGCCCUCUUCGGGGGGUGGUGAGUGGCGAACGGGUGAGUAACACGUGGGUAACCUGCCCUUGGCUCUGGGAUAACUCCGGGAAACCGGGGCUAAUACCGGAUAUGACCUCCUGGUGCAUGCCGGGGGGUGGAAAGUUUUUCGGCCAGGGAUGGGCCCGCGGCCUAUCAGCUUGUUGGUGGGGUGAUGGCCUACCAAGGCGUUGACGGGUAGCCGGCCUGAGAGGGCGACCGGCCACACUGGGACUGAGACACGGCCCAGACUCCUGCGGGAGGCAGCAGUGGGGAAUAUUGCGCAAUGGGCGAAAGCCUGACGCAGCGACGCCGCGUGGGGGAUGACGGCCUUCGGGUUGUAAACCCCUUUCACCAUCCACCAAGUCCUUGGUUUCUGCCUUGGGUGAGUGUAGGUGGGGAAGAAGCACCGGCUAACUACGUGCCAGCCGCCGCGGUAAUAC
rnacentral:rRNA from 1 species